rnacentral:rRNA from 1 species
UACGUAGGGUGCGAGCGUUAAUCGGAAUUACUGGGCGUAAAGCGUGCGCAGGCGGUCUGUUAAGACCGAUGUGAAAUCCCCGGGCUUAACCUGGGAACUGCAUCGGUGACUGGCAGGCUUUGAGUAUGGCAGAGGGGGGUAGAAUUCCACGUGUAGCAGUGAAAUGCGCAGAGAUGUGGAGGAAUACCGAUGGCGAAGGCAGCCCCCUGGGCCAAUACUGACGCUCAUGCACGAAAGCGUGGGGAGCAAACAGG